rnacentral:rRNA from 1 species
GACGAACGCUGGCGGCGUGCUUAACACAUGCAAGUCGAACGAUGAAGCCUAGCUUGCUAGGUGGAUUAGUGGCGAACGGGUGAGUAAUACGUGAGUAACCUACCUUUAACUCUGGGAUAAGCCCGGGAAACUGGGUCUAAUACCGGAUACGACCAAUCUCCGCAUGGGGUGUUGGUGGAAAGCGUUAUGUAGUGGUUAUAGAUGGGCUCACGGCCUAUCAGCUUGUUGGUGAGGUAACGGCUCACCAAGGCGACGACGGGUAGCCGGCCUGAGAGGGUGACCGGCCACACUGGGACUGAGACACGGCCCAGACUCCUACGGGAGGCAGCAGUGGGGAAUAUUGCACAAUGGGCGCAAGCCUGAUGCAGCGACGCCGCGUGAGGGAUGACGGCCUUCGGGUUGUAAACCUCUGUUAGCAGGGAGGAAGAGAGAUUGACGGUACCUGCAGAGAAAGCGCCGGCUAACUACGUG